GAAAAGUGUACAAUUUUAUUAAAAAAAAUUAAAUAAAUACGAGAUAUGAAAAAAAAAAAAAUUAUACGAAAGAUUUCACCUUUUUAAAGGGAUUACGAUACUUUCGUAACCUACCGUGUAUUUAGCAUUUCUGAGAGGGGAUUCGGAUGCUCAACACAACACGUGGGGUCCAUUGGCCACCAAAAAAAAAGUUGAUAGAAAUGAAAUGAAGGGACGAGAUUAAAGUUUACCUACCUGGUUUAUUCCUGGAUCCAACGGCCACGGGAAAAACUAGGGCCAUAUAAGAAGGAGAUGCAAGGGAACCCAAGUGUGUUAAGCAGGAAGUAGCAGCCGCCUGGGGUCUGCGAAGAAGAAGAAGAUGGUGGAAGAAUCUGGGAGAGGGAGUUUUGGAUAUUCGGAAGGCUUUGGUAUGGGCGAGUUGGGAAGAUAACUUUUAUUAAUUUGUGUCUUCCCUACUCCGCCCAUGCCAUAGGUUUCCGAUUGUUCCUCCCUCUCACUUUUGCCUUCUCUGCCCUAACCCUCCAUAUCUCUGUAUGUGAUUCUGUGCACUUCAUGUGACUAGACUCCUUCGAUCAUAGCUACAGCUCUACUGAUGAAUAAUUUGACGCGGAAUAAUAAUGGAGAAAAAUGAUUUGCUUGAAUAUUUAAUGAAUAUUUUGUCGUGCUAUGCAUGUAUAUAUGCUCUGGGAUUGUCAAAAUAAAUUAUGAUGCGCAAGUUGUAGUAAUCUCCUUUAAUUGUUUGAGCUAUCACAGUACUGUUGGCCUAACAAUAGCAGCAGCUUCACUGAUUUUAUUUUUAUUUUUAUUUUUAUUUUUUGAAGUUCUGAAUAGUAUGGACUAGCAAGGUAGGUCUGACACUGUUGUUUCUGGCUCCGACUGUUUGCCUGAUUCCUAUAAUAAUAGGGACUUAAGAUUUGUGUUGUGAGGGCCAAUGGCAAGUGAAUCUGAGGUCCUGUGUAACUGUUGACUGCUUCCUUUCAGAUCCAGGUUAAGGUGUUCAUAAGAUAUUUGGCAUAUCCCAUGAAAAGCAGCACCUACCAAAAUGAUGCCCAAACAAGUCAAAUCCAUGACAUAAGCUAUUGCCAUUGGAUCUCAUGUUAAGAUAAGAUUUGUACACAAAAGAAAAGCAAAAUGGAAUGUCUGGCUUGCUGGGCAAUAUUUGCUUCCUUAAAUACAGAGCAUUAUUUAAUUAUUCAUCAUAAGAAAACAUGUGCCAAACAAAAUAGCAUGAUUAUAGAAGAUAUGUGAAUUAUGAUA